GUCCGGAUUUAUUGGGCGUAAAGAGCUCGUAGGCGGUUCAACAAGUCGGUCGUGAAAGUUCAGGGCUCAACCCUGAAAUGUCGAUCGAUACUGUUGUGACUAGGAUACGGCAGAGGUGAGUGGAAUUCCGAGUGUAGCGGUGAAAUGCGUAGAUAUUCGGAGGAACACCAAUUGCGAAGGCAGCUCACUGGGCCGCUAUCGACGCUGAGGAGCGAAAGCUAGGGGAGCAAACAGGAUUAGAUACCCUGGUAGUCCUAGCUGUAAACGAUGGAUACUAGAUGUAGGAAUUGGUUUAACGAUUUCUGUAUCGUAGCUAACGCGUUAAGUAUCCCGCCUGGGGAGUACGGUCGCAAGACUAAAACUCAAAGGAAUUGACGGGACCCCGCACAAGCGGCGGAGCAUGCGGCUUAAUUCGAUGAUACCCGUAGAACCUUACCUGGACUUGACAUAUAGGGAAAAGUUAUAGAAAUAUAAUGUGCAUUAGCGCCCUAUACAGGUGGUGCAUGGCU
rnacentral:rRNA from 1 species